CAGUGAACAGCCGCGCGCGCGCGUGCACGUGCGCUCGCGCGCGGCGGGGGCGGGGUGGGGGGGACGCUGUCACCUGACACCAGGUUUGCUAAAGGAAGAUGUUCCAGGUGGAAGCAUAGGACCUGAUUCCUAAGCCAUAAAUGCUUCUUAUCACGGGACAAAGCCCAAAUCUCCAUUUAAAGAAAAAAAUCCUAAUGUGGAUUCCCCUCCUCCCCUCUCCGGAGGAUCAAAGCUGCUCCUUGAGGCCGUGUGAUCCUGGGCCAGAGGGUGGCAGAGAGUCAGCCAGGCCUCUCACCAGGGAGGAAGUCCCUUUGCCUGGAUGGUUCUGGAGAGGCCAUCCCCCUUCAGAGGUCUCUCUCUUAGGUUCAAAGACCCGUGGGGGCUGAGAGGUUGGCAGCAGAUGGGGAAGCGACUAGACCAAAAAACUGGGGCUUCCUGUUGGUGGAGGGGGUCCCGACCCACUGCCUGGUCCCCUGUCCCUAAUCCCCAUGGAAGUCUGGAUGAGCUUCUCAAACUCCCACAGAGGCCCUCGCCCCAUGUCGACUGCACAGGACCCGGAGCCUGAAGCCCCAUUUCCCCCAAUGCUAGAGCCUCCUCCAAGCAAAGUUUCCUUUCCCUGGACGCCUCUGAAGAUUCUGGCAGAUGAGAAAACCAGGCGUCCCUUGAGACCCCAGUCUCGUCUCUUUCCAUCUCAUCGCAAGUGUUUGGGGGUGGGGGUGGGGGGCAGCCCCUUCCCUCUGAUACCAUCUGUUCCUCUCUCACUUGAUCCCCUUUGCAAUUCCUUUCUCAGUUCUGCCUCCUGAACUUCCCCCGCGCUGGCCAUCACAUACACACUCACACAGCAGCGCAGCAGCGUCCACAUUCUGUGUUGGAAGAAGGGUCUUUGGGCUGCUUAGAAAUGAAGUUUGGAGUGGCCUGCGGUGCAGCAGAAAAAGACGAGCCCCAGAGAAUCGGCGGUCCCUGCCUGAGAGAGAAAGAAGCCAGCCCUCUUUCUGAGGACACCAGAUUCCACAAACACCACCGCGUGUCCCUCGACUUCGCCAUCCCACCGAGGCCAUCUCCACUCCUCGGGCCCUCAACCCCAGGCCAUCCCAAGGCUCCGGCCGGCUGCUUCCGAGGCGAGAGGACUGCGCAGGGGUCCGCGCCAAAAUGAUCCAAGGCAGGAAUCCGGGGCUCCCACCCUUAUGCGGAUCAAGUACCUUGCCGAGUCGCUCCCCUGGUCCCAGAGCUGAGACCAGG
rnacentral:lncRNA from 1 species